rnacentral:rRNA from 1 species
AGGGAACGCUGGCGGUAGGCCUAACACAUGCAAGUCGAACGGCAGCACAGUAAGAGCUGGCUCUUACGGGUGGCGAGUGGCGGACGGGUGAGGUAUACAUCGGAAUCUACUUGUUCGGGGGUGAUAACGUAGGGAUACUUACGCUAAUACCGCAUACGGCCUACGGGUGAAAGCAGGGGAUCUUCGGACUUUGCGCGAUUGAAUGAGCCGAUGUCGGGUUAGUUAGUUGGCGGGGUAAAGGCCCACCAAGGCGUCGAUCCGUAGCUAGUCUGAGAGGAUGAACAGCUACACUGGGAGUGAGACACCGUCCAGAGUCCUAUAGGAGGCCGCCGUAGGGAAUAUUGGACGAUGGGCGCAAUCCUGAUCCAGCCAUACCGCAUCGGUGAAGCAGGCCUUCGGGUUGUAACGCCCGUUUCUUGGGAUAGAACGGCAGCAGGUUAAUAGACCCCUGUUGUGACGGUACCCACAGAAUAAGCACCGGCUAACUCCGUG